CUCUCUCGCGUCCCUCUUGCGCAGUGUUUCAUCUUCAGGUGGUGCCGUUGUGUUCUUCCCCACUCCAAAAUCCCUUAUUGACACUCAUUCUCUUACGGUCCAGUUGGUUUCACUUCUGUCUGCUCAGUGUUUAAUCUCUUUGCUGUGGUUUGGCUUGAACUCUGUUGAACGGGUGACGAGACUGAUAGAGGUCUUUUUCAAAGCUUAGAAAAUACGCUACAGGAGUCAGAUAAGUGGGGUUCCUAUGC